CGCAAACGCAAGGAGGUAGCCAUGGGACUCACACAUUCCUUGAAUGUUCUGAUGAUCAGUGCAGCGUUCCUCUUCAUCGCAACGAUGAUCUUCAUCUGAGGCGAUCAAAGCGCAGUCCGGGAGGCCAGGGACGAAAAAACCAAAAAGACCCUGCCGAAACGAAUUCAAGAAGGAUGCAUGGCCCGGAGACGGCGCCAUGCAUUUU
rnacentral:sRNA from 1 species